AUUGAACGCUGGCGGUAUGCCUAACACAUGCAAGUCGAACGGCAGCACAGUAAGAGCUUGCUCUUACGGGUGGCGAGUGGCGGACGGGUGAGGAAUACAUCGGAAUCUACUUUUUCGUGGGGGAUAACGUAGGGAAACUUACGCUAAUACCGCAUACGACCUACGGGUGAAAGCAGGAGAUCUUCGGACCUUGCGCGAUUGAAUGAGCCGAUGUCGGAUUAGCUAGUUGGCGGGGUAAAGGCCCACCAAGGCGACGAUCCGUAGCUGGUCUGAGAGGAUGAUCAGCCACACUGGAACUGAGACACGGUCCAGACUCCUACGGGAGGCAGCAGUGGGGAAUAUUGGACAAUGGGCGCAAGCCUGAUCCAGCCAUACCGCGUGCGUGAAGAAGGCCUUCGGGUUGUAAAGCGCUUUUGUUGGGAAAGAAAAGCAGCAGGCUAAUACCCCGCUGUUCUGACGGUACCCAAAGAAUAAGCACCGGCUAACUUCGUG
rnacentral:rRNA from 1 species